GGGGAGUUCUGUCUCUGUCUCUGUCCAUCUGUCUGCCUUGCAAAUAAAAUGAAAAGCAAAAAUUGGGGAGGGGGUGUGGGUAGUAGUUUUACACAUGCACAUUAUCCCCACACUCUCCUAGCUUCUCAGCCCCAUCAGUCUCUGACUUCUCUCCCUCUCCUCCCCAGGUCUCUUUCUGGCUGUCACCUCCCACUUCAGAGGACACAGGAGUGAUAGGAGCCCCCCCCCCCGCCGCCGCCCCCAUGUGGCCUUGGUAGGAAUGAGACGCCUGAGCAGCCCGGGAGGGCGCCGCCGAGUGGCACAGCAGACUUGGCUGAGCAGGCCAGGGAAACGACUUCAAAAUCCAUCCCAUCUGCCCACCCAUCCGCUCUUUCUCCAUACGGUGACAUGUGAUUGCUGCCGAUCGAAUUCCAGGGCGGCAAAGUUCUCAGACUCUCCAACAGCCUGAUUUGUUUUGCAAAAUCGAAGAGAAUUUCAUGCUGGUCUCCCAGCAAGCUGUGUGAGCAGGUGGAGCCGGCGGGAGGCAGCCGCGGCCUGAACGGAAGCUGCCGCAUUCAGAAAUGCUACCUCCUCCCCAGCCGCCCCCUGCUGCGUUCCCACCUCCACAGCCUGGAGGUUCCAGACCACAAACACCUUCUUUGCCGCCAGGAGUGCAGCCCCCGCACCUGUUACUAGAGCCCAGCAGAGAGGGAUGCCUCCUAAGUCACUCUCACAGAGACCCAAACCUGCCCUUCCUAUGCCGGCUUUGUGGCACAGCGGGGUAAAGCCGCUGUCUGCGACGCCAGCAUCUUAUGUUGGAUCACCGGUUCAAGUCCUGGCUGUUCCACUUCUGACCCAGCUCCCUACUAAGGCACCUGGGAAAGCAGCAGCAAACAACCCAAGUGCUUGGGCCCCUGCCACCCACGUAGGAGACCCCAUGGAGUUCCUGGUUCCUGGCUUCGGCCUGGUCCAGCCAUUUGGAGAGCGAAGCUGCAGAUGGAAGAUC